GUGCUCACUUCGGCCGCACACAUACUACAAUUGGAGCUGUACAGAGGAUUAGCAUGGCCCUGCACAAGAAUGACGCACAAGUUCAUGAACUGCUCCAUGUUUCA